rfam:Triticum aestivum genome assembly, contig: Triticum_aestivum_CS42_TGACv1_scaffold_501820_6BL
CACAUGCUCCCUCCGUCCGGAAAUACUUGUCCUCAAAAUCAAUAAAAGGGGAUGUAUCUAGACGUAUAUUAGUUCUAGAUACAUACCUUUUUAUCCAUUUUGAUGACAAGUAUUUUCGAACGAGGGAGUACUAG